rnacentral:rRNA from 1 species
UUGAACGCUGGCGGAAUGCUUUACACAUGCAAGUCGAACGGCAGCACGGGGGCAACCUUGGUGGCGAGUGGCGAACGGGUGAGUAAUACCUAGGAACAUGUCCAGUAAUGGGGGAUAACGCAGCGAAAGUUGUGCUAAUACCGCAUACGACCUGAGGGUGAAAGCGGGGGACCGUAAGGCCUCGCGCGAUGGGAGCGGCCGAUAUCGGAUUAGCUAGUUGGUGAGGUAAAGGCUCACCAAGGCGACGAUCCGUAGCUGGUCUGAGAGGACGACCAGCCACACGGGAACUGAGACACGGUCCAGACUCCUACGGGAGGCAGCAGUGGGGAAUUUUGGACAAUGGGGGCAACCCUGAUCCAGCCAUUCCGCGUAAGUGAAGAAGGCCUUCGGGUUGUAAAGCUCUUUCGGCAGGAACGAAACGGUGGUCCUUAAUACGGGCUACUAAUGACGGUACCUGAAGAAGAAGCACCGGCUAACUACGU